UGUCCUCUGGGACAACCUGCCUCACUGUGAUUUUGGCUUGUACUGCCUCCUUCCAUGUAUCAUAAACCUGCUGAGCAAGGAACAGUAGCAGCAUGAAGGGAACACACAUGCCCUAUGGCAAAUAAUAAUAAUAAAUAAUAAAAUAAAGGAUCACUUGUCCUAAGAGAUCUAAUAUCCAAACACUGGAGGAAGAAAUCAUCCACAAACUAUUCAAGAAAAUCUUCUAGAACUGAAGCACAUGAUUACAGUGUGAAUGAGCCCACCAAGUGCCAGUAGAGUGGACAGGAGUUCAUCUAUACUGAUGCACAUUCUUGUGACAGCUUGGAGCACUUGAAAAGAAAAAAUACCACAAGCUUCCAGAGAGAGGAAAAGUCAUAUUUUUAUGACUUUUAUGGGCCUAAAAUCAAAAUGGCUUCAGAGCUUUAAACAGUGACACCAAAAGUCAUUGCACGAGCUAGAAUGUGAAUUAACUGAGAAAUUCAUUUUACUCCAUGGAAACAUUCUGCUUGGACCUACUCUUGAGAACUGGAGGUAGGCCAAGAUGAACUAACAAGCAAAAGAUACAGCAAAUUUCACUUAUCUCGCCAUUCCUGAGAGAUAUCCUUACCCUGAUCCGUGCCACAAUCCAGCCAAAUGCUGCAACUGAUGUGACCCAUGUUUCCCAGUAUGAUUUUUUUACUUUGCAGUGUGGGGAUUCCCCCAGGCUACCCCCAGCUUCAGGGAUUUGCUAGGACUGUGAGGACCUGGCCAACAGUUGCAGUCAAGGCUAUGACUUAUGACAGUGAAAGGACACAGGGAAUCAGCCCAGGGAAAAGGCAGCGGGGCACAUUCUGGAGGAAGCUAGCAUGAACCAGGAGUGCUAUCCUAGCAGAGACACACACGAUCACUCCAUUCCUCUAGGGUCAGAUUGUAACAACACGUGAAGUGCAGUCAAUCAGGGAAGCUCGUUAGAAACUCAGCACUUGGGUUUUUUACUGGGGGCUGGUCACAUAGCACUCUCUGCCUAGCACAUGCCAAAAUUCCAGAAAGGGAAAGCAGAGUUUAGCAUGAACCAUAUUACUUGCAAAAGCAUUUUUGUAAAGAAUUACUUUAUUUGGG